rnacentral:rRNA from 1 species
AUUGAACGCUGGCGGCAGGCCUAACACAUGCAAGUCGAGCGGAUGAAGGGAGCUUGCUCCUGGAUUCAGCGGCGGACGGGUGAGUAAUGCCUAGGAAUCUGCCUGGUAGUGGGGGAUAACGUCCGGAAACGGGCGCUAAUACCGCAUACGUCCUGAGGGAGAAAGUGGGGGAUCUUCGGACCUCACGCUAUCAGAUGAGCCUAGGUCGGAUUAGCUAGUUGGUGGGGUAAAGGCCUACCAAGGCGACGAUCCGUAACUGGUCUGAGAGGAUGAUCAGUCACACUGGAACUGAGACACGGUCCAGACUCCUACGGGAGGCAGCAGUAGGGAAUAUUGGACAAUGGGCGAAAGCCUGAUCCAGCCAUGCCGCGUGUGUGAAGAAGGUCUUCGGAUUGUAAAGCACUUUAAGUUGGGAGGAAGGGAAGUAAGUUAAUACCUUGCUGUUUUGACGGUACCAACAGAAUAAGCACCGGCUAACUACGUG